ACACAGAAGUGCAGGUUAAAAACUAUGAGAAGUUCUUAGAGGAAUAUACCGCUCAGCUCCAGGGUAUUGAAGAAGCAUUGGACGACUCUGUCGGAGAUGUAUGGGACUUCACUCUGGACCCUAUCGCUUUGAAGCUCCUGCCGUAUGAACAGUCCUCACUGUUGGAGCUCAUCAAGACAGAUAAUAAGGUGCUUAAUAAAGUUAUCACAGUGUAUGCAGCUCUUUGCUGUGAAGUUAAAAAGCUGAAAUAUGAGGUAAGUGAAA